rnacentral:misc_RNA from 1 species
UACGUAGGGGGCAAGCGUUGUCCGGAAUUAUUGGGCGUAAAGCGCGCGCAGGCGGCUGUUUAAGUCUGAUGUUUAAGCCCGGAGCUCAACUCCGGUACGCAUUGGAGACUGGAUGGCUUGAGUGUAGGGGAGGAAAGUGGAAUUCCACGUGUAGCGGUGAAAUGCGUAGAGAUGUGGAGGAACACCAGUGGCGAAGGCGACUCUUUGGCCUAUAACUGACGCUGAGGCGCGAAAGCGUGGGGAGCGAACAGG